rnacentral:rRNA from 1 species
GAUGAACGCUGGCGGCGUGCCUAAUACAUGCAAGUCGAGCGAACAGACGAGGAGCUUGCUCCUCUGACGUUAGCGGCGGGCGGGUGAGUAACACGUGGAUAACCUACCUAUAAGACUGGGAUAACUUCGGGAAACCGGAGCUAAUACCGGAUAAUAUAUUGAACCGCAUGGUUCAAUAGUGAAAGACGGUUUUGCUGUCACUUAUAGAUGGAUCCGCGCCGCAUUAGCUAGUUGGUAAGGUAACGGCUUACCAAGGCAACGAUGCGUAGCCGACCUGAGAGGGUGAUCGGCCACACUGGAACUGAGACACGGUCCAGACUCCUACGGGAGGCAGCAGUAGGGAAUGUUCCGCAAUGGGCGAAAGCCUGACGGAGCAACGCCGCGUGAGUGAUGAAGGUCUUCGGAUCGUAAAACUCUGUUAUUAGGGAAGAACAAAUGUGUAAGUAACUAUGCACGUCUUGACGGUACCUAAUCAGAAAGCCACGGCUAACUACGUG